AUGAACGCUGGCGGCGUGCCUAAUACAUGCAAGUCGAGCGAACGGACGAGAAGCUUGCUUCUCUGAUGUUAGCGGCGGACGGGUGAGUAACACGUGGAUAACCUACCUAUAAGACUGGGAUAACUUCGGGAAACCGGAGCUAAUACCGGAUAAUAUUUUGAACCGCAUGGUUCAAAAGUGAAAGACGGUCUUGCUGUCACUUAUAGAUGGAUCCGCGCUGCAUUAGCUAGUUGGUAAGGUAACGGCUUACCAAGGCAACGACGCAUAGCCGACCUGAGAGGGUGAUCGGCCACACUGGAACUGAGACACGGUCCAGACUCCUACGGGAGGCAGCAGUAGGGAAUCUUCCGCAAUGGGCGAAAGCCUGACGGAGCAACGCCGCGUGAGUGAUGAAGGUCUUCGGAUCGUAAAACUCUGUUAUUAGGGAAGAACAUAUGUGUAAGUAACUGUGCACAUCUUGACGGUACCUAAUCAGAAAGCCACGGCUAACUACGUG
rnacentral:rRNA from 1 species